GAACCUUGGGACCCGGCACCUGAGCCAAACCCUGCCGGGCUACUGCUGGGCCAUAUCGUGGCCUCGGGGAUAGUCACUCAGGAGAUAUUAGAUAUAUCUAAGAAGUCUACUCCUUGCUUUGUGAACUUCUCCAGGCUACAGCAGAUCACAAAUAUUCAAGCUGAAAUCAAUCAGAAAAACCUGGAAAUUGAACUUCUAAAACUAGAAAAAGAUACAGCAGACAUUGUUCAUCCUUCUUUUUUGGCUCAAAAGUGUCAAACUCUGCAAAGCAUGAAUAAUCAUUUGGAAGCAGUGCUAAAAGAGAAGAGGUCGCUCAGGCAAAGACUGUUGAAACCCAUGUGCCAGGAAAACCUGCCUAUUGAAGCAGUUUAUCACAGAUACAUGGUACAUUUGCUGGAGUUGGCAGUGACUUUUAUUGAGAGAUUAGAAACCCACCUUGAAACAAUUAGAAAUAUUCCUCAUUUAGAUGCAGAUCUAAAGAAAAUGAGCAAGGCUUUAGCCAAGAUGGAUAUUUUGGUGACUGAGACAGAAGAACUGGCAGAGAAUAUACUCAAGUGGCGAGAACAAAAGGAAAUUUCCUCUUGUAUCCCCAAAAUAUUAGCUGAAGAAAAUUAUCUUCACAAAUGUAUUGUAACACCAUAACGCCUUCUUUAUCUUUACUUCUAAAGUUUAUGUCCAAACUAUUAAUGCCAAAUGAUACAACUUGUUCAAUUAAGCAAAAAAAAAAAAAAAAAAAGGCAGUUGGAUCACAGUGCUUUGUGCUAAAAUUUUUUGCCUGUUCUCCUGUCCUUAUUCCCACCCAUAUCACCCAGUUUCUUUUUUGGGCAUCAGAAAAAUAUUGUUGCCUAUAUUAAGACUAAAAGCCUGGUGCAUGAAAUUCAGGCAUGGGUGCAUUCCCUAGGCCUGGCUGGUGAUCGAAGCGCUGGUCGCCGUCUGCAGGGUGGUCGGUGGGGUGAUUGGGUCCUGCUUUCACCCGCCUUGUCCUGCCACUGCCUGCUCACCUGCUCCACCAUCCUGCCAUGGACCCGCUCUCGCUGGGGCCCACCGGGGCUGGCAGCACCUCCACUGCCACCUGCUGCCAAUGCCUAGUUGCCAACGCCCACCAUGUUCCAUGCCGCCCCCUGGUGGU